rnacentral:misc_RNA from 1 species
AAGAAAAGGCAUUUUCAAACCUCAAUACAAGUGAUCCUGAAGGAAGUCCCAUAAAACAGAAUUCAGUGUAUUACCAAAACAAGGCUUGUGACAGAAAAUAAUCCCUAAAGGGGAGCAACUCUUCAGAAAUCCAGGAAAUUCUCGGAAAUCCAUCAUUGUUUGAGACCACCUUGGAAGUCAUCAUUUUGCUCAUAAUGUGCUAUGUAUAUUUUUCACAUGAUUGUAAAUGAAGUUUAUUAUAUUGGAUUUUUCAUGAUGAGAAGUAAGAUUCUGAAAUAACUUAACUAAGGGAAAAACACAAAAAUUAUAAAUGAUAAUUUUUAUUUAUUAAAUGAAAAUUACCAUAUAUAUACAAUGUAACUUAGGUAACAUAUGACUCAAUAUAUGAAAUAAAUAGAUAAAAUAAAAUGCAUUAUUAUAUUAAGAAAUAAAUAAAAGAAGUGCAAGUAAAUACACUUUUACAGAUAAAUAAUAUGUUGAUGUCAAAAUUAUUUUGUGUUCAAUUUAUGAAUAUGAAAAAGUUCUCUUCUAAAGAGCAUUUAAUGGUUAAAAUAUCCGUUUGUAUCAACAGCCUGCCAUGAUUUAAUUGGAAUUUAAAAUGUCAGCAUCUGUUAUGCGUAAUAAGAAGUAGGCUUGAAGCUUAUACUGAAGUGCAUCUACUUAUUUAUAAUUAGAGCUACCAAGUUUUAGCUCUGACAGUUUUCAAACAAUGAACAAAUUAACAUUUCAACAAGAAACAAUAGCUACUUUGAUUCUGUGUUGUUUUGUCUAAUUACAGGCAAAUUUCAUUUUUUGACAAAAUAUUCAUUGAUUCAAGUAUAUUACAGUAUAUACAUGUAAACUUAAAAGAUAUUUCAUGACAUUUUUGACAAUUUUAGUAUCAAAAUAUACACAAGUUGUUUGUAUAAUUAAGCUUUACAGCACUUAUAACAAUUUAUAAAUUCUUGUGCUAGACAUGUACUUUGUAGCUUUUGUACUUUUCUAUCUUUUUGUGAUGUUUAAAUCGUUUACAUUCCCUACCAAAUUGUUAGAUUUUGUGUUGUAAAUAUGGACAUCUCAGAUGUAUACCUCACUGUGUAUGUUGUGCUAUAUAAUGUAACAUUUACAUGUGGUUGCUGGUUCAUCCUAGUGCAUUAACUCAUACACAAAACACACAUACAUACAUACGCUAUUGAUGGCAUGGGCCGGUAAGAAAUCAUUUCUAAAAUUUGUUGAACUUUAUUUAAUGAAUUUGUGAUGUUUCAAAACAAAUCAUGUAAUAAAUUUGUGUAUC